UGAACGCUGGCGGUAGGCCUAACACAUGCAAGUCGAACGGCAGCACAGUAAGAGCUUGCUCUUAUGGGUGGCGAGUGGCGGACGGGUGAGGAAUACAUCGGAAUCUACCUUUUCGUGGGGGGAUAACGUAGGGAAACUUACGCUAAUACCGCAUACGACCUUCGGUGUAAGCAGGGGACCUUCGGGCCUUGCGCGGAUAGAUGAGCCGAUGUCGGAUUAGCUAGUUGGCGGGGUAAAGGCCCGACCAACGUCUACGAUCAAUAGCUGAUGUGAGAGCAUGAUCAGCCACACGGGCACUGAGACACGGUCCAGACUCCUACGGGAGGCAGCAGUGGGGAAUAUUGGACAAUGGGCGAAAGCCUGAUCCAGCCAUG
rnacentral:rRNA from 1 species